rnacentral:rRNA from 1 species
AGGGUUUGAUUCUGGCUCAGGAUGAACGCUGGCGGCGUGCUUAACACAUGCAAGUCGAACGAGAGAAGAUCGGUGCUUGCACUGAUCCGAUCGAGUGGCGGACGGGUGAGUAACGCGUGGGUAACCUGCCUCAUACAGGGGAAUAACAGUUGGAAACGGCUGCUAAAACCGCAUAAGCGCACAGUAUCGCAUGAUACAGUGUGAAAAACUCCGGUGGUAUGAGAUGGACCCGCGUCUGAUUAGCUAGUUGGUGAGGUAACGGCCCACCAAGGCAACGAUCAGUAGCCGGCCUGAGAGGGUGAACGGCCACAUUGGGACUGAGACACGGCCCAA